rnacentral:lncRNA from 1 species
GGGUUUAGUUUGAAAAGAGGGAGUUUGAAGGUGAUUUGGGCAGAGGUUUUGUGGCUUUUAAGUUUGAAAAAUGAGUGGGGAUAGUUCUCUAUUUAUAGGGGAAGCUAAGGGGUUGAAUGGGGUGAACCAAAGGGUCCUUUGUGUAAAAAACAGGGCCAUUUUUGCUGUUUGCGCAGGCGUAAUCGGUUACCCUGAUUAGGGUAAUC